rnacentral:lncRNA from 1 species
AAAUAAAUAAAUAAGGGGAAAUAAACAAUCUGGCAUUUCUUGACCUAAGCGGUCUCUGGUUAAGUUAUACACAGAAUAAUCACCCGUAAGGAUGUUGAGGUGGAUACUCAGCGUUCAUUUCUUAUGGUUAUGUCAGCGGGGAGAUCAAGCUUAACAUAAAUAGUGUCUAAUAUGCGAGUUUGUACCAGAGACUACGUUUGAUAGUCGAAGUACUAGGUGAUGAAAUAGAGUAAUAAAAUAAGAUAAACUAGGAAGACAACAGAACUCGGGUGUGAGCAGUCUAAUACACCUUAACACCUAGAUUUUUCCCCUCCUCCUCUCCUCCUUUUAUGUCUUAUCUUUUCCCUCCUUUAAGACUUAGUUUUUGUUAUGCUAUGCAUAGUACAUAUAGUUCCAUAGUGCCUCAUUCGCGACCACAGGUCUAUGGGCACAAACCGUGUCGUAUCAGGAAUAAACAAUGUAUAUUGUUAUAAUUUGGCAAGGUAAUAUCGAGUGUACUAAGAGGUGAGUGAACAUGCCUGGCGUCAGAUUUAACUGGUUGGUGUGAACUACAAGCACACUAUGGUGUUCGAGAGAAAAUAACAAGGAAAGGGAAAACAGUUUAAGUCAUAGUGCUAAACAUAAUGGUGGGGUGGAAACGAUAAGGUUGUUCAGCAGUGUGGGUUGGGGUUGUGCAUGGCCGUCCCUAUACAUAAUAUGCCUGAUGGUGGGGCAAUGUCCCGGUAACUCACACAGUCCAGAAUUGACUUUCAGGUUGUGGCAGUGCCGGUGGGUGAUUCUUUCUGUCGUCUGGGGACAAAUUCAGCAGCGCUAGCCGUUUCCCAACUUGGGGGGUUCCGAGGUCUGUCCUUAGGUGCUGGCUGGGUCAAUGCAUUCGGGGGGAGGCCGAGCAGCCCCAGGAUCAUCGGUGCCUCUUGUAUGCAGUGAAUUUUAUGCGUAUCUUCGCCUUUUGUUACCGUCAGGGUGUGAGCUGGGCCCCAGCGGUAUGUGACAUGUUUCUCACGCAGAAGUGAUGUCAAUUGUUGCAGGGAUCUGCUCCAGGCUAAAGUGGCUCCCGAGAGGUCCGCAUAAAACAUUAGGUUCAUACCUUCGAAGGGGUAGGUCUGUUGGAGCCUGGCCACGGCCAGGACUGCGGAUCUGUCUCUUUGGGCUUGAAACUGCAGGAUCACAUCACGGGUGGCUGCGUCUGGAGCUUUAGUGGGUUUUGGGAUACGGAAUAUUUCAUCCAGUAUCACUGCUUUGGCUUAUUUUGGGUUUAGCAUUACCGUGAGGAGCCGCCGCACGAAAUGGGGCAGUUCAGAGUCCGUCACAGUAUCUGUUAUUCCUCUGAUCUUGAGAUGCUUCAGCCGACGUUUAUCUUCCAGCUCAGCAAAUCGUAAGUCAUUUUGUUUAGACAGGUUCCUCAGCGCCAGUAUCUCUUGCUGUAGCUCCUUGAUAUGUGUGUCUUGGGCUUGCGUGGUGUGUUCCACAGCUCCAAGUCGUCCAUUGAGGCCCUGCAGCGUGUCCCGAAUUGAGGCCACAUCUGCUGAUAUUUUUUUAUGGUGGUCUGCCAUUAAUUCUCUGAUGGCCUCCAUGCUCACCGGGGUAGGGGUUGCGGCGGGUGGUGGGGGCUGUGUUCGAUUCAGUGGGAGUUUGGGGUUGGCUUGUAGGGGCUCCCCUUCUGCGUCAUCCGAAGAUUCACUGUAGAAGUCUGAGCAUCCGCCAUGGAGGGACGCCAUGUUAGGGAUAGAGGCUUCUUGGGCCUUCCGCCACAACUCGCCAAUAUGUGUGCCCGGGUGGAGUUUUUCAGGCUUUAACUUCUUUGUCUUUCGCCCCAUCGCGUUCGCCUAAACGUUUGGGUCCGUCUGGGUUGGGUUUGACCCGAUUGUGGGUGUUUUUAGUGGGUUUUGUCAGUUUCAGGCCUGGAGCUCAGCAAUCCUGCGACCGUCCGCUUCAGUGGUUAGG